rnacentral:rRNA from 2 species
UUAAAUUGAAGAGUUUGAUCAUGGCUCAGAUUGAACGCUGGCGGCAGGCCUAACACAUGCAAGUCGAACGGUAACAGGAAUCA